CCUACGGGAGGCUGCAGUCGAGAAUCAUUCACAAUGGGGGAAACCCUGAUGGUGCGACGCCGCGUGGGGGAAUGAAGGUCUUCGGAUUGUAAACCCCUGUCAUGUGGGAGCAAAUUAAAAAGAUAGUACCACAAGAGGAAGAGACGGCUAACUCUGUGCCAGCAGCCGCGGUAAUACAGAGGUCUCAAGCGUUGUUCGGAAUCACUGGGCGUAGAGCGUGCGUAGGCUGUUUCGUAAGUCGUGUGUGAAAGGCGCGGGCUCAACCCGCGGACGGCAGAUGAGACUGCGAGACUAGAGUAAUGGAGGGGGAACCGGAAUUCUCGGUGUAGCAGUGAAAGGCGUAGAUAUCGAGAGGAACACUCGUGGCGAAGGCGGGUGCCUGGACAUUAACUGACGCUGAGGCACGAAGGCCAGGGGAGCGAAAGGGAUUAGAGACCCUAGGAGUC
rnacentral:rRNA from 1 species